UACGGGGGGGGCAAGCGUUGUUCGGAAUUACUGGGCGUAAAGGGCUUGUAGGUGGCCAACUAAGUCAGACGUGAAAUCCCUCGGCUUAACCGGGGAACUGCGUCUGAUACUGGAUGGCUUGAGUGUGGGAGAGGGAUGCGGAAUUCCAGGUGUAGCGGUGAAAUGCGUAGAGAUCGGGAGGAAGGCCGGUGGCGAAGGCGGCGCUCUGGAACAUUUCUGACGCUGAGGCUCGAAAGCGUGGGGAGCAAACAGG
rnacentral:rRNA from 1 species